rnacentral:misc_RNA from 1 species
AAGUCGUAACAAGGUUUCCGUAGGUGAACCUGCGGAAGGAUCAUUAUCGAGUUUUGACUGGGUUGUAGCUGGCCUUCCGAGGCAUGUGCACGCCCUGCUCAUCCACUCUACACCUGUGCACUUACUGUGGGUUUCAGAUGUUAUUAGCGGGGCCUUUACGGGUCUCGUGAAAGCGUCUGUGCCUGCGUUUAUUACAAACUCUUACAAGUAACAGAAUGUGUAUUGCGAUGUAACGCAUUUAAAACAACUUUCAGCAACGGAUCUCUUGGCUCUC